CGCGCCGGGCUGCAGCUACCUUUCCCACCGCCGCCUCAGCCGCGCUACCGCAGACAGAGGACGCCCAGUGGCGGCUGGAAGCCUGUGCUGGCGGCACUCUGAUGCUUCCAUGUUGUCCUUCCUCCACAGUCACAGCCAGUGUUUGAAGCCGUUCUGCCCUGGGUUCUUCUGCCUCCCCAGAUAUCUCCUGAAAGCUGCAUCUGACUCCUGCUCCAGGAACUCCCUCCCUGCGGAAAGCCUUUCUCUUCCUCCUACUUUUUUCAAACCAAGCAAACUUGGUUUGGUCCUGCAAACAUGUUCUCCCUUAUGCAUCCUCCAUAAGGAGUAACACUGCUGAAUAAACACUGCAAAGCUGAACUUACAGCCCAGAAUGUGCCCUCUCUGCACGUGAUUUGCAGUCUGGCUUACAAGAAAAAGAGUCGGGGGCUAAGCCUUCUUCCAAGUCAACAAAAGCUCUAAAAUUCCGAUCACUUCCGAUUUGACUGUGGAAAAAGAGGCAAAGAUCAUGGGGUCACGCACAACAGAUUUUAAAAUGGAGACUUAAUGAAUGUAAGAAACUUGCCCCAAAUCACACCACUAAUGAGUGACAGUUUGGAAUGAAUCUAGUGAAACAGAAUUGAUCUGGAAUGAGGAACCGGAGUAGACCAAGUCAAUAUUACAUCCAAGGGACGGAGGUGUCCUCAAAACGGUCUCCCUCUAAGCAAUGACAGACACUCGACAAUGGCUGUACACAGUCUCUAUGGGAAAGGUGGAUGAGAAGAAAACUGUGUAAUAUUUUCAGCCAAGUAUACGUGCUGACAUCUGGCUGGCUAACUGGGCAUGAAUUAUUUAACAUUAGUCAUUGAAGACAAAACAACUCAUUUUUGCAGGAUUGUUAUAUUUUUCCCAUAUCACAUACAUAAAGAAGCACUAUGGAAUCAAGGAGAAAUAGUCUUGAAAGCACCUUGAGGAAGCUUCUCCAAUACAAGCACAGGGAUUACAAAUUCCUAUUCUAUGUAAAAUAAUGUCAUGGGGAGUAAUAAGUAAUACAUAAUAGAUAAGGUGGACGAUAUGUCUUGACUUAAAUGUUUUGGACAAAAAAGAAAUUUGAAGGUGUACCUUAGACUGGCAGUGUAUUAUCAUUGCCUCUAAAUUACUAUGUGUGCUAUGUGACUUUUUGAGUAAGAAGCCUUUUAAAACUAUUUAUCACAUGAACUCUGGUUUUGCUUUUGGAAUAUAUCAUCUCAUUAAUUAAAAGACUGAAGUUUCAUUAUUUCAUGUCUGUCUUUACUGGGUUAUGUAAACAGCAACUCUGUCCUUACUAAAUCAUAUGCUAUUUUAAUUUUUCUAAAAAUGUAGACCUCAUAGCCAUCAUUGAAAUAGAACAUUACAAAAGAGAAAAAGCAACUUGAA